CCUACGGGAUGCUGCAGUGGGGAAUAUUGCACAAUGGGGGACACCCUGAUCCAGCGACGCCGCGUGAGUGAUGAAGUAUUUCGGUAUGUAAAGCUCUAUCAGCAGGGAAGAAAAUGACGGUACCUGACUAAGAAGCCCCGUCUCACUCCGUGCCAGCAGCCGCGGUACUACGUAGGGGGCAAGCGUUAUCCGGAUUUACUGGGUGUAAAGGGAGAGUCGGCGGAAUAGCAAGUCUGAUGUGAAAACCCGGGGCUCAACACCGGGAGUGCAGUGGAAACUGUUGAUCUAGAGUGUCGGAGAGGCAAGCGGAAUUCCUAGUGUAGCGGUGAAAUGCGUAGAUAUUAGGAGGAACACCAGUGGCGAAGGCGGCUUGCUGGACGAUGACUGACGUUGAGGCUCGAAAGUGUGGGGAGCAAACAGGAUUAGAUACCCCAGUAGUC
rnacentral:rRNA from 1 species